rnacentral:rRNA from 1 species
UACGUAGGGACCGAGCGUUGUCCGGAAUCAUUGGGCGUAAAGAGCGUGUAGGCGGCCCCUUAAGUCCUGCGUGAAAUCCUGCGGCUCAACCGCAGACGGUCGUGGGAAACUGGAGGGCUAGAGUGCGGGAGAGGAGAGUGGAAUUCCUGGUGUAGCGGUGAAAUGCGCAGAUAUCAGGAGGAACACCAAUUGCGAAGGCAGCUCGCUGGGACGUUACUGACGCUGAGACGCGAAAGCGUGGGGAGCAAACAGG